AUAAUUGGGAUGUUUACUAUAGAAGCUAUGUUGUAGCAAAUACCGUAAUUGCUAUAUUAUUCUCUUUAUUUUAUGAUUAUGUUUGGUCUAGUAGGGAUCACUUAUGUUUGUUUACGCUCUAUAGGCGAAAUGUAUUUUAUAUAGAAAUACAUUUGUAUAUUCUUUCAGAGUGUCUGUGGUUAGCAUUAUUUCUUCUUUUAAUAAUAUAUAUGCGGAUUUUUAUUUGUUAUGACUUAAGAAUACGGAUUUGGUACUAAAUAGUAAGAAAAAAUUUCAUAA
rnacentral:lncRNA from 1 species